rnacentral:rRNA from 1 species
CCUACGGGAGGCAGCAGUUGGGAAUCUUGCGCAAUGGGGAAACCCUGACGCAGAACGCCGCGUGCGGACGAAGGCCUUCGGUUGUAAACCGCUUUCAGCAGGAAGAAGUUGACGGUACCUGCAGAAGAAGCCCCGGCUAACUACGUGCCGGCAGCCGCGGUAACACGUAGGGGGCGAGCGUUAUCCGGAUUCAUUGGGCGUAAAGCGCGCGUAGGCGGCCCGCCAAGCAGAACCUCUAACCCCGGGGCCCAACCCCGGGCCGGGUUCUGGACUGGCGGGCUCGAGUCCGGUAGAGGAAGGCGGAAUUCCCGGUGUAGCGGUGAAAUGCGCAGAUAUCGGGAAGAACACCGAUGGCGAAGGCAGCCUUCUGGGCCGCGACUGACGCUGAGGCGCGAAAGCUGGGGGAGCGAACAGGAUUAGAUACCCUGGUAGUCCCAGCCGUAAACGAUGGAGCUAGGUGUGGGGGAUGACCCUCCGUGCCGAAGCCAACGCAUUAAGCGUCCCGCCUGGGGAGUACGGCCGCAAGGCUAAAACUCAAAGGAAUUGACGG